rnacentral:rRNA from 1 species
AUGACGUCAAGUCAGCAUGGCCUUUGUGUCCAGGGCUACACACGUGCUACAAUGGUUGGUACAAAGGGUUGCCAAGCCGUGAGGCGGAGCCAAUCUCAAAAAGCCAACCUCAGUUCGGAUUGCAGUCUGCAACUCGACUGCAUGAAGUUGGAAUCGCUAGUAAUCGCUGAUCAGCAGGCAGCGGUGAAUACGUUCCCGGGCCUU